rnacentral:rRNA from 1 species
GACGAACCGUGCGAACGUUAUUCGGAAUCACUGGGCUUAAAGGGCGCGUAGGCGGGUCGGUAAGUCAGGGGUGAAAUCCCACGGCCCAACCGUGGAAGUGCCUCUGAUACUGCCGGCCUCGAGGGGGAUAGGGGCGUGCGGAACUCAGGGUGGAGCGGUGAAAUGCGUAGAUAUCCUGAGGAACACCGGUGGCGAAAGCGGCGCGCUGGAUCACUUCUGACGCUGAGGCGCGAAAGCCAGGGGAGCAAACGGG